rnacentral:rRNA from 1 species
UACGGAGGGUGCGAGCGUUGUCCGGAAUCACUGGGCGUAAAGGGCGCGUAGGCGGCCUGAUAAGUAGGGGGUGAAAUCCUGCGGCUUAACCGCAGGGCUGCCUUCUAAACUGUCAGGCUAGAGCACAGUAGAGGCAGGUGGAAUUCCCGGUGUAGCGGUGGAAUGCGUAGAGAUCGGGAAGAACAUCAGUGGCGAAGGCGGCCUGCUGGGCUGUUGCUGACGCUGAAGCGCGAAAGCGUGGGGAGCAAACGGG